rnacentral:rRNA from 1 species
AGAGUUUGAUCCUGGCUCAGGAUGAACGCUGGCGGCGUGCCUAAUACAUGCAAGUCGAGCGAACGGACGAGAAGCUUGCUUCUCUGAUGUUAGCGGCGGACGGGUGAGUAACACGUGGAUAACCUACCUAUAAGACUGGGAUAACUUCGGGAAACCGUAGCUAAUACCGGAUAAUAUUUUGAACCGCAUGGUUCAAAAGUGAAAGACGGUCUUGCUGUCACUUAUAGAUGGAUCCGCGCUGCAUUAGCUAGUUGGUAAGGUAACGGCUUACCAAGGCAACGAUGCAUAGCCGACCUGAGAGGGUGAUCGGCCACACUGGAACUGAGACACGGUCCAGACUCCUACGGGAGGCAGCAGUAGGGAAUCUUCCGCAAUGGGCGAAAGCCUGACGGAGCAACGCCGCGUGAGUGAUGAAGGUCUUCGGAUCGUAAAACUCUGUUAUUAGGGAAGAACAUAUGUGUAAGUAACUGUGCACAUCUUGACGGUACCUAAUCAGAAAGCCACGGCUAACUACGUGCCAGCAGCCGCGGUAAUACGUAGGUGGCAAGCGUUAUCCGGAAUUAUUGGGCGUAAAGCGCGCGUAGGCGGUUUUUUAAGUCUGAUGUGAAAGCCCACGGCUCAACCGUGGAGGGUCAUUGGAAACUGGAAAACUUGAGUGCAGAAGAGGAAAGUGGAAUUCCAUGUGUAGCGGUGAAAUGCGCAGAGAUAUGGAGGAACACCAGUGGCGAAGGCGACUUUCUGGUCUGUAACUGACGCUGAUGUGCGAAAGCGUGGGGAUCAAACAGGAUUAGAUACCCUGGUAGUCCACGCCGUAAACGAUGAGUGCUAAGUGUUAGGGGGGUUUCCGCCCCUUAGUGCUGCAGCUAACGCAUUAAGCACUCCGCCUGGGGAGUACGACCGCAAGGUUGAAACUCAAAGGAAUUGACGGGGACCCGCACAAGCGGUGGAGCAUGUGGUUUAAUUCGAAGCAACGCGAAGAACCUUACCAAAUCUUGACAUCCUUUGACAACUCUAGAGAUAGAGCCUUCCCCUUCGGGGGACAAAGUGACAGGUGGUGCAUGGUUGUCGUCAGCUCGUGUCGUGAGAUGUUGGGUUAAGUCCCGCAACGAGCGCAACCCUUAAGCUUAGUUGCCAUCAUUAAGUUGGGCACUCUAAGUUGACUGCCGGUGACAAACCGGAGGAAGGUGGGGAUGACGUCAAAUCAUCAUGCCCCUUAUGAUUUGGGCUACACACGUGCUACAAUGGACAAUACAAAGGGCAGCGAAACCGCGAGGUCAAGCAAAUCCCAUAAAGUUGUUCUCAGUUCGGAUUGUAGUCUGCAACUCGACUACAUGAAGCUGGAAUCGCUAGUAAUCGUAGAUCAGCAUGCUACGGUGAAUACGUUCCCGGGUCUUGUACACACCGCCCGUCACACCACGAGAGUUUGUAACACCCGAAGCCGGUGGAGUAACCUUUUAGGAGCUAGCCGUCGAAGGUGGGACAAAUGAUUGGGGUGAAGUCGUAACAAGGUAGCCGUAUCGGAAGGUGCGGCUGGAUCACCU